rnacentral:rRNA from 1 species
UACGUAGGUGGCAAGCGUUGUCCGGAAUUACUGGGUGUAAAGGGCGUGUAGGCGGGGAUGCAAGUCAGAUGUGAAACCCCACGGCUCAACUGUGGGCUUGCAUCUGAAACUGUAUUUCUUGAGUGUUGGAGAGGGAAGUGGAAUUCCUAGUGUAGCGGUGAAAUGCGUAGAGAUUAGGAGGAACACCAGUGGCGAAGGCGACUUCCUGGCCAACAACUGACGCUGAGGCGCGAAAGCGUGGGGAGCAAACAGG